rnacentral:rRNA from 1 species
UACGAAGGGGGCUAGCGUUGCUCGGAAUUACUGGGCGUAAAGCGCACGUAGGCGGUCUUUUAAGUCGGGGGUGAAAUCCUGGAGCCCAACUCCAGAACUGCCUUCGAUACUGGAAGACUCGAGUCCGGGAGAGGUGAGUGGAACUGCGAGUGUAGAGGUGAAAUUCGUAGAUAUUCGCAAGAACACCAGUGGCGAAGGCGGCUCACUGGCCCGGUACUGACGCUGAGGUGCGAAAGCGUGGGGAGCAAACAGG